rnacentral:rRNA from 1 species
UGCCAGCCGCCGCGGUAAUACGGAGGGCGCGAGCGUUAUUCGGAAUCAUUGGGCGUAAAGCGCGUGUAGGCGGCUGGGCAAGUCGGAUGUGAAAGCCCGGGGCUCAACCCCGGAAUUGCAUUCGAAACUGCUCAGCUAGAGUCUCGGAGAGGAGGGCGGAAUUCCCGGUGUAGAGGUGAAAUUCGUAGAUAUCGGGAGGAACACCAGUGGCGAAGGCGGCCCUCUGGACGAUGACUGACGCUGAGACGCGAAAGCGUGGGGAGCAAACAGGAUUAGAUA